GUGGUGGUGGUGGUGGGUGGUGUGUUGUUGUGGGUGGUGGUGGUGUUUGUUUUUGUGGGUGGUGGUGUUGGUGGUGGUGUUGCUGGUGGUGUGUUGUUGUUGUUGUUGUUGUUGUUGGGUCAGGGUGCGUCCAUUCUGCCUUCUCCCCUGCCUCUCCCCUGCCACUCCCCCCACCAUUACUCUUGUAUUCCCCAGCCCUCUUGACCCCCCCCCCCCCACACACACACACCAUACGCGUUUCUUUUCUUUUUUCCUUUUGGGACUGUAGUUCCAAGUCGCGACUUUACACUUGCCAGCGAUCACCUGUCCCUUGCUGUGGAGAACUGCAUUUGGCUCUCCCUCGAUGGAUGACAGCCGCCCAACCCUGACGAUCUCACGUCCGACCCUAAACGUGUGGUGGGCGAUGAGUCUGUUUGAGAAAAAGAGGAAGUGGAGUGAAUCUCAUGGACAUGUUCGCCCUUUGAAACCAACAUCUCCUUUGACUGCCUCCCACCUUGUUCUCUGAGGGGAAACCUGGGAACCCUAAUGACAGACUGCAAAAUAAAGAUGCAAAUCAACACAAA